rnacentral:rRNA from 1 species
AUUGAACGCUGGCGGAAUGCUUUACACAUGCAAGUCGAGCGGCAGCACGGGGGCAACCCUGGUGGCGAGCGGCGAACGGGUGAGUAAUACAUCGGAACAUGCCCAGUCGUGGGGGAUAACACUUCGAAAGAAGUGCUAAUACCGCAUACGUCCUGAGGGAGAAAGCGGGGGAUCUUCGGACCCCGCGCGAUUGGAGGGGCCGAUGUCAGAUUAGCUAGUUGGUGGGGUAAAGGCCUACCAAGGCAACGAUCUGUAGCUGGUCUGAGAGGAUGAUCAGCCACACUGGGACUGAGACACGGCCCAGACUCCUACGGGAGGCAGCAGUGGGGAAUUUUGGACAAUGGGGGCAACCCUGAUCCAGCCAUUCCGCGUGAGUGAAGAAGGCCUUCGGGUUGUAAAGCUCUUUCGGCAGGAACGAAACGGCGAGCUCUAACAUAGCUUGCUAAUGACGGUACCUGAAGAAGAAGCACCGGCUAACUCCGUGCCAGCCGCCGCCGUAAAAC